CCCUUAGAUGUCCGGGGCCGCACGCGCGCUACACUGAAGGAAUCAGCGUGGCUUUCUCCCUGACCCGAAAGGGUUGGGAAACCCGUUGAAUCUCCUUCGUGAUAGGGAUUGGGGCUUGAAAUUGUUCCCCAUGAACGAGGAAUUCCCAGUAAGCGCGAGUCAUAAGCUCGCGUUGAUUACGUCCCUGCCCUUUGUACACACCGCCCGUCGCUACUACCGAUUGAACGGUUUAGUGAGCGCCUCGGAUUGGUCUCGGCCCGCUCUUUACCGGGCGGCGCCGUUGGUCGAGAAGACGCUCGAACUUGAUCGUUUAGAGGAAGUAAAAGUCGUAACA
rnacentral:rRNA from 1 species